AGCGAACGCUGGCGGCAGGCCUAACACAUGCAAGUCGAGCGCCCAGCAAUGGGAGCGGCAGACGGGAUAGUAACACGUGGGAACGUACCUUUCAGUUCGGAACAACCCAGGGAAACUUGGGCUAAUACCGAAUACGUCCGUAAGGAGAAGAUUUAUCGCUGAAAGAUCGGCCCGCGUCUGAUUAGCUAGUUGGUGAGGUAAUGGCUCACCAAGGCGACGAUCAGUAGCU
rnacentral:rRNA from 1 species